rnacentral:lncRNA from 1 species
AUGGGAAAACCCAACUCCGGGAUUGGGAAAACCUUGGGAGGAGCAAAUUCCAGAGGUUUUCCCAACCCAGCUUUGUCCUGGGGGAGAAUUCCGCCUUUUCCGGCUGAGAACGAAUCCCAAAAUCCGCGAUCAGGCCGGGAUUCCCCCCCCGGGGGAGUUCGGUGGGGUCGGGACGGGAACAGCGGCACAAAGGGGAGGAAUUCCCAGGAAAACGGGAUUUUCCUGGCUCCGGGGGUCCCGAGGGAGCCCCAGGGAAUCCCAGCCUGGAACGGGGCAAUUCCCACGGGAACAGCUCCAGCCUGGACCUGGAAUUGCCCCAAAUCCCCGACUCUGUCCCUAAAAACCAUCUGGGAACAUCCCGGGCUGGGGAACAGCUUCAUCCCAAAAAUCCCCCUGUCCCAAAAACCGGGCAGGAAUUCCGGGAAUUCCCUGAUCCCGCUGAAUUCCGGGAAUUCCCUGAUCCCGCUGCUCUCUCCGGAAUCCCAGGAAUUCCCUGAUCCCGCUGAAUUCCGGGAAUUCCCUGAUCCCGCUGCUCUCUCCUCUCCCAGGAAUUCCGGGAAUUCCCAGAUCCCGCUGCUCUCUCCUCUCUCUCCCAGGAAUUCCGGGAAUUCCCUGAAUGCGGAGGGCAGCGCUGGGCUCAUCCCGAAUUCCCGAUCCCAUGGAAAAGCCAGGGAAUCCCGCUCCAAACCCGGCCUGGCUCGGGACACCUCCCUUCCCCCGCUGGCAGAUCCCGAUUUUCCCGAAUUUCCCGAAUUUCCAGGACAGGAUCUCCCUCCCAAAGCCAUCCCAAGGGAAUUCCCAUCCUCCCCUUCCCGAAUCCGCGUCCAGCGGGAAAAUCUGACCCCGAGGGCUGCAGAGGAAGCGGGAAAAGGGAAAUAAAAUGACAAAAAUAUCCAAAAAAAAAACAACCCCUAAAAAAAUAAAUUAAACCCAGGAAUUGCCA